GAGGAGGAGGAGGAGGAAGCCGCGGCGCAGGCCAGCGAAAGUGUGGGGAAUUCAGAGCGUCGCAGGCGGAGUAAAACAAACUUCGGCACCCCAUGGCUAUUUGUGCAUGCAGAAAUGCAUACAAUUUUACUCAUUUGAAUUUAUUAGCCACCCAGUUUCAAUGAACUCCAAGUAUUAAUCAUCAGUUGUUACUUGUGAGAACUAGAAGACAUGAGAUAGAAAAUGUCUGAACAUCUGGACUUCAUCAAACUGCCGAACUUUAAGAACUAUCUAAAGACCCAUUUAUUUGUCCUACUAUUUCCUUAAAAGAAUUGUUUUGCUUUUCCUAGGAUUUCACAUUGUUGAGCAUAUUAUUUUGGAAGAACUUUCUAACUUAUUGGUGUUGCAAUGUUGGCUUUAUUUUGUGUGAGAUGUGUUUUGUGACUUUUGCAAA